rnacentral:lncRNA from 1 species
AACACUUUUGAUUGAAUAGACUAGUAAUCUGUGGGUCGCCACGAAAGGAAGAAGGAAAUUUCAUUAAAUCGUAGUAUAUGAUUUGAAACAAACUUUUAAAUUGAAUUUAUUUCUUCUUUAAGAGAUCAUAUGGAUAAAAUGCAAAAAAAAAAAAAUCAACGAGAUAGUAGUAUUCACCUAAUUAUAAUUCCACGUCUGCAACUACGUCACUUUAUUAUACUACUUGCUUUAAAAAUCUACUAGCUAUAUAGUAUAUAAAAGUUAUACCC